ensembl:miRNA
AGAGCUUAGCUAAUUGGUGAGCAUUGAUCCCUGCAAUGUGUUGUUCACAGUGGCUAAGUUCAGU